rnacentral:rRNA from 1 species
GCAGGCUUAACACAUGCAAGUCGAGCGGUAGCACAGGGGAGCUUGCUCCCUGGGUGACGAGCGGCGGACGGGUGAGUAAUGUCUGGGAAACUGCCUGAUGGAGGGGGAUAACUACUGGAAACGGUAGCUAAUACCGCAUAACGUCGCAAGACCAAAGAGGGGGACCUUCGGGCCUCUUGCCAUCAGAUGUGCCCAGAUGGGAUUAGCUAGUAGGUGGGGUAAUGGCUCACCUAGGCGACGAUCCCUAGCUGGUCUGAGAGGAUGACCAGCCACACUGGAACUGAGACACGGUCCAGACUCCUACGGGAGGCAGCAGUGGGGAAUAUUGCACAAUGGGCGCAAGCCUGAUGCAGCCAUGCCGCGUGUGUGAAGAAGGCCUUCGGGUUGUAAAGCACUUUCAGCGAGGAGGAAGGUGGUGAACUUAAUACGUUCAUCAAUUGACGUUACUCGCAGAAGAAGCACCGGCUAACUCCGUGCCAGCAGCCGCGGUAAUACGGAGGGUGCAAGCGUUAAUCGGAAUUACUGGGCGUAAAGCGCACGCAGGCGGUUUGUUAAGUCAGAUGUGAAAUCCCCGGGCUCAACCUGGGAACUGCAUUUGAAACUGGCAAGCUAGAGUCUCGUAGAGGGGGGUAGAAUUCCAGGUGUAGCGGUGAAAUGCGUAGAGAUCUGGAGGAAUACCGGUGGCGAAGGCGGCCCCCUGGACGAAGACUGACGCUCAGGUGCGAAAGCGUGGGGAGCAAACAGGAUUA